rnacentral:rRNA from 1 species
UUGACCUCAAAUCAGGUAGGACUACCCGCUGAACUUAAGCAUAUCAAUAAGCGGAGGAAAAGAAACUAACAAGGAUUCCCCUAGUAACUGCGAGUGAAGCGGGAAAAGCUCAAAUUUAAAAUCUGGCGGUCUUGCGGCCGUCCGAGUUGUAAUCUGGAGAAGCGUUUAUCCGCGUCGGACCGUGUACAAGUCUCCUGGAAGGGAGCGUCGUAGAGGGUGAGAAUCCCGUCUUUGACACGGACAACCGAUGCUUUUGUGAUGC